rnacentral:sRNA from 1 species
CAACGCUGCCCUCCUUGGGCGUUUCCUCCCAGACUUGGAUCGCCGUUCGCGGCGGUCCCUUUCUCGGAUCUGU